rnacentral:rRNA from 1 species
AUUGAACGCUGGCGGCAGGCCUAACACAUGCAAGUCGAGCGGGGUUUUCGGACCUAGCGGCGGACGGGUGAGUAAUGCGUAGGAAGCCGCCCGAUAGAGGGGGAUACCAGUUGGAAACGACUGUUAAUACCGCAUAAUGUCUACGGACCAAAGUGUGGGACCUUCGGGCCACAUGCUAUCGGAUGCGCCUACGUGGGAUUAGCUAGUUGGUGAGGUAAUGGCUCACCAAGGCGACGAUCCCUAGCUGGUUUGAGAGGAUGAUCAGCCACACUGGGAAUGAGACACGGUCCCGACUCCUACGGGAGGCAGCAGUGGGGAAUAUUGGCAAAUGGGCGCAAGCCUGAUCCAGCCAUGCCGCGUGUGUGAAGAAGGCCUUCGGGUUGUAAAGCACUUUCAGUAGGGAGGAAGGGUGUUGUGUUAAUAGCACAGCAUUUUGACGUUACCUACAGAAGAAGCACCGGCUAACUCUGUGCCAGCCGCCGCCGUAAUAC